GCGUGGCAGGGUCCUCCCUCCUCCUCACAGACACCCCGACAUCACCCUCAAAACUGGAAGGGACAACCCCGAGUGAUCUAGGCUUCAGAACCCGCAGAUACCCAGGCUGACUGUGAGGGACUUGAGCAUCCUCAGAUUUUGGUAUCCAUGGGGAUGCUGAAACCAAUACCCUGCCAAUACUAAGGGAGGACUGUAUUUGUAGGAUGAAUGGCUGCAUCAACUGCAAAAAUUUAAAUUUAAAUUUAAAUUUAAAAUGCAAAUAUGU
rnacentral:lncRNA from 10 species